GCCCGGGCCUUCCCUCUGGGGAACCUCCAGCCCUUCACUGGGGGUGUUGGGGGACCCGGAAUUUUACUUUGAAAAAAUUAGAGUGGUCAAAGCCGGCCUUUGCUUGGAUUCAUUAGCAUGGGAUUAUUAAAUAGGGCGUGUGGUUUUAUUUUGUUGGUUUCUAGGGCCGCCGUAAUGAUUAAUAGGGAUAGUUGGGGGCCUCCGUAUUCCAUUGUCAGAGGUGAAAUUUUUGGAUUUAAUGAAGACUAAAUACUGGGAAAGCCUUUGCCAAGGAUGUUUUCCUUAAUCAGUGAACGAAAGUUAGGGGAUCGAAGACGAUCAGAUACCGUCGUAGUCUUAACCAUAAACUAUGCCGACUAGGGAUCGGGCGAUGUUAUUUUUUUGACUCGCUCGGCACCUUA
rnacentral:rRNA from 1 species